UACGUAGGUGGCAAGCGUUGUCCGGAAUUAUUGGGCGUAAAGCGCGCGCAGGCGGUCCUUUAAGUCUGAUGUGAAAGCCCACGGCUCAACCGUGGAGGGUCAUUGGAAACUGGGGGACUUGAGUGCAGAAGAGGAGAGUGGAAUUCCAGGUGUAGCGGUGAAAUGCGUAGAUAUCUGGAGGAACACCGGUGGCGAAGGCGGCAUCCUGGACCGGCAUUGACGCUGAGGCGCGAAAGCUAGGGGAGCAAACGGG
rnacentral:rRNA from 1 species